rnacentral:tRNA from 1 species
UAUUUAUUAGUUUAAUAAAAACAUUACAUUUUCAUUGUAAAAUUAAAAACCUUAUUUUAUAAAUUA